CCCAGCUACUCGGGAGGCUGAGACAGGAGAAUAGCUUGAACCUGGGAGGCAGAGGCUGCAGUGAGCAGAGAUCACACCAGUGCACUCCAGCCUGGGUAAGACAGAGUGAGUAUCCGUCUCAAGAAAAAAAAAAAAGAGACUUGUGGUUUUUCUCUCUGUCUCUCCUUUCCUCUGCCUGUUCUCCCUCCUGCUGUUCAUUCAUUCAUUCCUUCCCACUCCAUGUCCAGGCUUGCACAGUAUGCUGCAGACAGAAUGAUGACCAAACCCAUCCCUACCUUAGAAGCCUAGUCUGGCAGAAGACAGACGUCUCGCAGCCAGUUACAACAGAAGGCAGUGACGGGCACGUUAUUCAUAGCUGGCAUCUCUCUGGAGCCCCACCUUUCUGCCAGGUCCCAAGCAUUCCUGACUCCACUCAAUUCCCGGAACUUUCCAAGGCCCAGUUUCCUUGGUCAUCUUCAUUUUCCAGCUUAGGGUACCCCACUCAGCCCUUGAGGUCUAUCCACACACUGUCACUGCAGAGAGACUCUGCGGCAUUGAGAAAGACUGCACUGCCUGGGUUUGGAUGCUUCAUACUGAUUGUGGCAGGCGGACUCUGAUGUGGCUCUCCAUGGUCCCACCUUCUGGUAUUUACAUCAUGAUAUUUCCUCCCCUUAAGCAUGAGCUGGACCUAGUGACUUGCUCCUAAA
rnacentral:lncRNA from 13 species